UACGUAGGGUGCGAGCGUUAAUCGGAAUUACUGGGCGUAAAGCGUGCGCAGGCGGUGAUGUAAGACCGUUGUGAAAUCCCCGGGCUCAACCUGGGAACUGCAUCUGUGACUGCAUCGCUGGAGUGCGGCAGAGGGGGAUGGAAUUCCGCGUGUAGCAGUGAAAUGCGUAGAUAUGCGGAGGAACACCGAUGGCGAAGGCAAUCCCCUGGGCCUGCACUGACGCUCAGGCACGAAAGCGUGGGGAGCAAACAGG
rnacentral:rRNA from 1 species